UGACGGUGGUGGUGCCGGGCGCCCUCGGUGCUGUGCUUCUUGUGAUGACGGUGGUGGUGACCGUCGUGGUGGUGGUGGUGGUGGUGGUGACGGUGGUCACCGUGGUCGUGGUCGUGGUCGUCCAGGUGCCAGCCGUGGCGGUCGGGCUGGACCCAUCGGCCGUCGCGGGCGCGGACCAUGCCCUUGUUCUCGUCCUGGCGCCAGCACGGGGGCACGCCGUGGUGGUCCUUGAGGAAGUCGCACGCCUUGUUCACCAGCGCCGGGUCGCGCCCGCUCGCCAGCACGAACCGCUCACCGCGUCCGUGGUACCUGCGCACGUCAAAAAAAAAAACACAC
rnacentral:misc_RNA from 1 species